GAUGAACGCUGGCGGCGUGCCUAAUACAUGCAAGUCGAGCGAACAGGCGAGGUGCUUGUUCCUACGACGUUAGCAGCGGACGGGUGAGUAACACGUGGAUAAUCUACCUAUAAGAGUGGGACAACUUCGGGAAACGAGAGCUAAUACCGGAUAAUAUAUUGAAACGCAUGGUUCAAUAGUGAAAGAUGCAAUUGCUGCACCUUAUAAAUGGAUCCGGGUUGCAUUGGCUAGUUGGUAAGGUAAGGGCUAACCAAGGCAAUGAUGCAUAGCCGACCUGAGAGGGUGAUCGGCCACACUGGGACUGAGACACGGUCCAGACUCCUACGGGAGGCAGCAGUAGGGAAUCUUCCGCAAAGGGCGAAAGCCUGACGGAGCAACGCCGCGUGAGUGAAGAAGGUCUUCGGAUCGUAAAACUCUGUUAUUAGGGAAGAACAUAUGUGUGAGUAAAUAGGCACGCAAUGGCGGUACCUUAUCAGAAAGCCACGGCUAACUUCCGG
rnacentral:rRNA from 1 species